rnacentral:rRNA from 1 species
CCUACGGGUGGCAGCAGUGGGGAAUAUUGGACAAUGGGGGCAACCCUGAUCCAGCCAUGCCGCGUGUGUGAAGAAGGCCCUCGGGUUGUAAAGCACUUUCAGUGAGGAAGAACGCCUGGUGGUUAAUACCCAUCAGGAAAGACAUCACUCACAGAAGAUGCACCGGCUAACUCCGUGCCAGCAGCCGCGGUAAUACGGAGGGUGCGAGCGUUAAUCGGAAUUACUGGGCGUAAAGCGCGCGUAGGUGGCUUGAUAAGCCGGUUGUGAAAGCCCCGGGCUCAACCUGGGAACGGCAUCCGGAACUGUCAAGCUAGAGUGCAGGAGAGGAAGGUAGAAUUCCCGGUGUAGCGGUGAAAUGCGUAGAGAUCGGGAGGAAUACCAGUGGCGAAGGCGGCCUUCUGGACUGACACUGACACUGAGGUGCGAAAGCGUGGGUAGCAAACAGGAUUAGAUACCCUUGUAGUC